rnacentral:rRNA from 1 species
ACGACCGGCGCACGGGUGAGUAACACGUUUGCAACCUACCUCUAACUGGGGGAUAGCCCGAAGAAAUUCAGAUUAAUACCCCAUAAGGUUAAUUUGAGGCAUCUCAAAUUGAUUAAAGCUCCGGCGGUUAGAGAUGGGCAUGCGUGUCAUUAGCUAGUUGGUGAGGUAACGGCUCACCAAGGCCACGAUGACUAGGGGGUCUGAGAGGAUGAUCCCCCACACUGGUACUGAGACACGGACCAGACUCCUACGGGAGGCAGCAGUGAGGAAUAUUGGGCAAUGGACGCAAGUCUGACCCAGCCAUGCCGCGUGCAGGAUGACUGCCCUAUGGGUUGUAAACUGCUUUUGUUUGGGAAGAACUCCCCGAUCGUGAUCGGGGCUGACGGUACCUUACGAAUAAGCAUCGGCUAACUCCGUGCCAGCAGCCGCGGUAAUACGGAGGAUGCAAGCGUUAUCCGGAUUCAUUGGGUUUAAAGGGUGCGCAGGCGGAAUAUUAAGUCAGUGGUGAAAUCCUGCAGCUUAACUGUAGAACUGCCAUUGAUACUGGUAUUCUUGAAUGUAGUUGAGGUGGGCGGAAUGUGUAAUGUAGCGGUGAAAUGCUUAGAUAUUACACAGAACACCAAUUGCGAAGGCAGCUCACUAAACUAUGAUUGACGCUGAGGCACGAAAGCGUGGGUAGCAAACAGGAUUAGAUACCCUGGUAGUCCACGCCGUAAACUAUGAUCACUCGCUGUUGGCAAUACAUCGUCAGCGGCUGAGCGAAAGCAUUAAGUGAUCCACCUGGGGAGUACGGUCGCAAGAUUGAAACUCAAAGGAAUUGACGGGGGCCCGCACAAGCGGAGGAACAUGUGGUUUAAUUCGAUGAUACGCGAGGAACCUUACCUGGGCUUAAAUGCAGAGCGACGUUCCGGGAAACCGGAAUUCCUUCGGGCGAUCUGCAAGGUGCUGCAUGGCUGUCGUCAGCUCGUGCCGUGAGGUGUCGGGUUAAGUCCCAUAACGAGCGCAACCCUUAUCGUUAGUUGCCAGCGGGUAAUGCCGGGGACUCUAACGAAACUGCCGGUGUAAACCGUGAGGAAGGUGGGGAUGACGUCAAGUCAGCACGGCCCUUGUGUCCAGGGCUACACACGUGUUACAAUGGUCGGUACAGAGGGCAGCUACCUGGCAACAGGAUGCUAAUCUCGAAAACCGGUCUCAGUUCGGAUUGGAGUCUGCAACUCGACUUCAUGAAGCUGGAUUCGCUAGUAAUCGCGCAUCAGCCAUGGCGCGGUGAUACGUUCCCGGGCCUUGUACACACCGCCCGUCAAGCCAUGGAAGCUUGGAGUACAUGAAGUCCGUAACCGCAAGGAGCGGCCUAGGGUAAGACAAGUGACUGGGGCUAAGU